rnacentral:rRNA from 1 species
GACGAACGCUGGCGGCGUGCUUAACACAUGCAAGUCGAACGAUGAACCACUUCGGUGGGGAUUAGUGGCGAACGGGUGAGUAACACGUGGGCAAUCUGCCCUGCACUCUGGGACAAGCCCUGGAAACGGGGUCUAAUACCGGAUAUUGACCUUCACGGGCAUCUGUGAGGUUCGAAAGCUCCGGCGGUGCAGGAUGAGCCCGCGGCCUAUCAGCUUGUUGGUGAGGUAAUGGCUCACCAAGGCGACGACGGGUAGCCGGCCUGAGAGGGCGACCGGCCACACUGGGACUGAGACACGGCCCAGACUCCUACGGGAGGCAGCAGUGGGGAAUAUUGCACAAUGGGCGAAAGCCUGAUGCAGCGACGCCGCGUGAGGGAUGACGGCCUUCGGGUUGUAAACCUCUUUCAGCAGGGAAGAAGCGAAAGUGACGGUACCUGCAGAAGAAGCGCCGGCUAACUACGUGCCAGCAGCCGCGGUAAUACGUAGGGCGCAAGCGUUGUCCGGAAUUAUUGGGCGUAAAGAGCUCGUAGGCGGCUUGUCACGUCGGUUGUGAAAGCCCGGGGCUUAACCCCGGGUCUGCAGUCGAUACGGGCAGGCUAGAGUUCGGUAGGGGAGAUCGGAAUUCCUGGUGUAGCGGUGAAAUGCGCAGA